CUGAAGUGGCCAAGGCUUUCUCUAAGCGCCUCUUCUUUUUCUCAGCUUGCUUAAUUCGAUCCAACUCAUCCUUAACUUGCUUCUUCUUCCCUUUUCUAACAGCAGGUGCCACCUUAGCACAUUCCAUUUUGCCAACUAAUUAUGAAUCAGUAACACUUGAACCUACCCGAAUUUUCCUUUGUUGUGGAUAUUUCUAAGACAAGUUCAUUCUCUUUAUAACUAAUUUAUUAUCUUUUCUUUUGUGCCCUGUUAUUAAUACUAUUGCAAAAAAAAACUAUGCUAUUCAAUCUAAAGCUUUUACUAACGUUACACCUACACAAACUCAGGUCUAAGGGAAUACCGGAUUUUACGAACAAUACAGUCCCAGACAGAAACAACAGGAGAUUGAAGAAGAGAAGACUGGUAAGCACUCGUAGGCCCGUCACUCACCAUUCUUCCUAGUUUGCCACAAGCCUUGCAUUUACCCAUCUGGCAAC
rnacentral:lncRNA from 1 species